GGCCAGCUGUGGUUUAGUUGUAGAGAUUGUGGUGGGCUCUCACAGAAUGACUGCUGCUGCUAAUGCGAUGGUUCACCUCGAUAAAAGAUCGAGGUGAGAUCAAGUAUCAUAUGAGAUUGAAUGUCUCAGAUAUAUGAAACACUUUAAUUUAGGUCAAUAUUUUAAUUAGUUGAAAUGAGUCAGAUCGAUAUUUAUAUGAGCUGAUCAUAAUAUUUUACUAAAAAUCAAUUCAGGUAGCUAAGGUCAGUAU
rnacentral:lncRNA from 1 species